rnacentral:rRNA from 1 species
GACGAACGCUGGCGGCGUGCUUAACACAUGCAAGUCGAACGGAGUGGCGAACGGGUGAGUAACACGUGGGUGAUCUGCCUCGCACUUCGGGAUAAGCUUGGGAAACUGGGUCUAAUACCGGAUAGUGCAAGAUGAGCUCGCGGCCUAUCAGCUUGUUGGUGGGGUAAUGGCGUACCAAGGCGUCGACGGGUAGCCGGCCUGCGAGGGUGUGCGGCCACAUUGGGGCUGGGAUACGGCCCAGAGUCCUACGGGAGGCAGCAGUGGGGAAUAUUGCGCAAUGGGCGGAGGCCUGAUGCAGGGUCGCCGGGUGGGGGAUGUAGGCCUUCGGGUUGUAACCUCCUUUCGACAGGGACGCGGUACCUGUAUAAGAAGCACCGGCUAACUACGUGCCAGCAGCCGCGGUAAUUC